GAUGAACGCUGGCGGCGUGCAUAACACAUUCAAGUCGAACGGAGUUGUUUUGAUUAAUCCUUCGGGAAGCGUCAAGACAACUUAGUGGCGGACGGGUGAGUAACGCGUGAGCAACCUGCCCUUGCGUGGGGGAUAACGUUUGGAAACGAACGCUAAUACCGCAUAACGUACCGAGAUUGCAUGGUUUUGGUACCAAAGAUUUAUUGCGCAAGGAUGGGCUCGCGUCUGAUUAGGUAGUUGGUGGGGUAACGGCUCACCAAGCCGACGAUCAGUAGCCGGACUGAGAGGUUGAACGGCCACAUUGGAACUGAGAUACGGUCCAGACUCCUACGGGAGGCAGCAGUGGGGAAUAUUGGUCAAUGGUCGGAAGACUGAACCAGCCAAGUAGCGUGAAGGAUGACGGUUUUCGGAUUGUAAACUUCUAUCGACAGGGAAGAAAGAAAUGACGGUAACCUGAAUAAGAAGCCCCGGCUAACCUACGUG
rnacentral:rRNA from 1 species